ACAAAGAGAAGCGACCUCGCGAGAGCAAGCGGACCUCAUAAAGUGCGUCGUAGUCCGGAUUGGAGUCUGCAACUCGACUCCAUGAAGUCGGAAUCGCUAGUAAUCGUGGAUCAGAAUGCCACGGUGAAUACGUUCCCGGGCCUUGUACACACCGCCCGUCACACCAUGGGAGUGGGUUGCAAAAGAAGUAGGUAGCUUAACCUUCGGGAGGGCGCUUACCACUUUGUGAUUCAUGACUGGGGUGAAGUCGUAACAAGGUAACCGUAGGGGAACCUGC
rnacentral:rRNA from 2 species